GGAAUUUUUUCAAUUUUCCAAAUAGGGAGGAAAAGAAACCAACAGGGAUUGCCUCAGUAGCGGCGAGUGAAGCGGCAAGAGCUCAGAUUUGAAAUCGUGCUUUGCGGCACGAGUUGUAGAUUGCAGGUUGGAGUCUGUGUGGAAGGCGGUGUCCAAGUCCCUUGGAACAGGGCGCCCAGGAGGGUGAGAGCCCCGUGGGAUGCCGGCGGAAGCAGUGAGGCCCUUCUGACGAGUCGAGUUGUUUGGGAAUGCAGCUCCAAGCGGGUGGUAAAUUCCAUCUAAGGCUAAAUACUGGCGAGAGACCGAUAGCGAACAAGUACUGUGAAGGAAAGAUGAAAAGCACUUUGAAAAGAGAGUGAAACAGCACGUGAAAUUGUUGAAAGGGAAGGGUAUUGCGCCCGACAUGGGGAUUGCGCACCGCUGCCUCUCGUGGGCGGCGCUCUGGGCUUUCCCUGGGCCAGCAUCGGUUCUUGCUGCAGGAGAAGGGGUUCUGGAACGUGGCUCUUCGGAGUGUUAUAGCCAGGGCCAGAUGCUGCGUGCGGGGACCGAGGACUGCGGCCGUGUAGGUCACGGAUGCUGGCAGAACGGCGCAACACCGCCCGUCUAAAAACCGGGGACCAAAUUGGAAACGAGCA
rnacentral:rRNA from 1 species